rnacentral:rRNA from 1 species
GUCUACAGCCAUGCUGCCUUGAACAAGACCGAUCUCAUCUGAUCUCGGAAGCUAAGCAGGGUCGGGCCUGGUUAGUACUUGGAUGGGAGACCACCUAGGAAGACCAGGUGCUGCAGGCU